GGAUAGAAAGGUGAUUGGAAAGGUGAUGAUUGUUUUUGAUGAUUUAAAAUAUGUCAAGUCUAAGCUUUAAUUUGUUUAGAAUUGUUUUUGGAAUUGGCCGCAUAAACUCGGCAAUUUACUCGAAUAUUACUUUCACACAUCAAAUAGCAAAUGAUUGUCCUGUUUCCAGCAUUAAGAUCACAGUCUGGGUAGUAUGGAGGUAAACACUCAGCAGCCGACUUAAUAAAUGUAGUAAUAAUAUGCCAGUGUGUGUGAUUAUGAAUGCUAUUGUAACUUAAAUAAUAUUUGAGGUAGAAGGAGGAAGACAUGAGAGUGUGCCACUUGAUGAGAAAACAACUUAAAAGUUUGAGAAAAAAAUGAGGUGAUUUUCUCUUUUUUUUCCUAAUGUUUCUGCUAUAGGUAUGUAAGAAGCAUUUAAUUUUUUGCUUCUAUUUUUUAAAUAUUCAAGCUAGGUCAUGUGUUGAAUCACUUUCAGAUGUUUAGUUAUUAACUGUAAAAUUUGUAAGUAGCAGUCAUCACAUCAUGUAUCUGUCGAGCAUUAUGUUUUGUAAUAUUAAAUUAGACUAGACCAUCUCAGUAUGCGCUUUACAUUUUUGUAGAUUCUAUUUAUAAAAAUUGGAUCAAAGUUUUC
rnacentral:lncRNA from 1 species